rnacentral:rRNA from 1 species
GACGAACGCUGGCGGCGUGCUUAACACAUGCAAGUCGAACGGAAAGGCCCUGCUUUUGUGGGGUGCUCGAGUGGCGAACGGGUGAGUAACACGUGAGUAACCUGCCCUUGACUUUGGGAUAACUUCAGGAAACUGGGGCUAAUACCGGAUAGGAGCUCCUGCUGCAUGGUGGGGGUUGGAAAGUUUCGGCGGUUGGGGAUGGACUCGCGGCUUAUCAGCUUGUUGGUGGGGUAGUGGCUUACCAAGGCUUUGACGGGUAGCCGGCCUGAGAGGGUGACCGGCGACAUUGGGACUGAGAUACGGCCCAGACUCCUACGGGAGGCAGCAGUGGGGAAUAUUGCACAAUGGGCGGAAGCCUGAUGCAGAAACGCCGCGUGCGGGAUGACGGCCUUCGGGUUGUAAACCGCUUUCGGCUGUGACGAAGCGUGAGUGACGGUAAUGGGUAAAGAAGCACCGGCUAACUACGUG